rnacentral:rRNA from 1 species
UAAGGAAUAUUGGUCAAUGGACGCAAGUCUGAACCAGCCAUGCCGCGUGGAGGAUGAAGGUCCUCUGGAUUGUAAACUUCUUUUAUCUGGGACGAAACACUUCUUUUCUAAGAGGCCUGACGGUACCAGAUGAAUAAGCACCGGCUAACUCCGUGCCAGCAGCCGCGGUAAUACGGAGGGUGCAAGCGUUAAUCGGAAUUACUGGGCGUAAAGCGUGCGCAGGCGGUUUUGUAAGACGGAUGUGAAAUCCCCGGGCUUAACCUGGGAACUGCAUUCGUGACUGCAAGGCUAGAGUAUGGCAGAGGGGGGUAGAAUUCCACGUGUAGCAGUGAAAUGCGUAGAGAUGUGGAGGAAUACCGAUGGCGAAGGCAGCCCCCUGGGCCAAUACUGACGCUCAUGCACGAAAGCGUGGGGAGCAAACA